rnacentral:rRNA from 1 species
CUACGGGGUGCUGCAGUGAGGAAUAUUGGGCAAUGGACGCAAGUCUGACCCAGCCAUGCCGCGUGCAGGAUGACGGCCCUAUGGGUUGUAAACUGCUUUUAUACAGGAAGAAACCCUCUGACGUGUCAGAGGUUGACGGUACUGUAUGAAUAAGCAUCGGCUAACUCCGUGCCAGCAGCCGCGGUAAUACGGAGGAUGCAAGCGUUAUCCGGAUUUAUUGGGUUUAAAGGGUGCGUAGGCGGGGCAAUUAGUCAGUGGUGAAAUCCUGCGGCUUAACCGUAGAACUGCCAUUGAUACUGUUGUCCUUGAGUAUAGUUGAGGUGGGCGGAAUGUGUAAUGUAGCGGUGAAAUGCAUAGAUAUUACACAGAACACCAAUUGCGAAGGCAGCUCACUAAGCUAUAACUGACGCUAAGGCACGAAAGCGUGGGGAGCGAACAGGAUUAGAUACCCCCGUAGUC